AGUGAACGCUGGCGGUAGGCCUAACACAUGCAAGUCGAACGGCAGCACAGUAAGAGCUUGCUCUUACGGGUGGCGAGUGGCGGACGGGUGAGGAAUACAUCGGAAUCUACUUUUUCGUGGGGGAUAACGUAGGGAAACUUACGCUAAUACCGCAUACGACCUACGGGUGAAAGCAGGGGAUCUUCGGACCUUGCGCGAUUGAAUGAGCCGAUGUCGGAUUAGCUAGUUGGCGGGGUAAAGGCCCACCAAGGCGACGAUCCGUAGCUGGUCUGAGAGGAUGGUCGGCCACACUGGAACUGGGACACGGUCCAGACGCCUGCGGGAGGCAGCAGUGGGGAAUAUUGGACAAUGGGCGCAAGCCUGAUCCAGCCAUACCGCGUGGGUGAAGAAGGCCUUCGGGUUGUAAAGCCCUUUUGUUGGGAAAGAAAAGCAGCAGGUUAAUACCCCGCUGUUUUGACGGUACCCAAAGAAUAAGCACCGGCUAACUUCGUG
rnacentral:rRNA from 1 species